CCAAAAUAUAAAUAUAUUACUAAAUACACAAAUAUAUAAUUUACAAUAUAGAAUUUAAUGUAUCAAUAUUGCUUUUACGUCUACUCCUGUUUGCUGUGACUGGAUGAAGCAUCACCGUAUGAUGACCUCAAUUGCAGCAGUUCAGCUGCUUUUAAAGGGGCAUCAACAGAAUCCAGGCAUAGACAUAGCUACAGGUAUGAUUCACCUUCAAUCUUCAACCUCCCUUUAUUUUUAUAUGAAGCAAAUAGAUAACUACAAUAUAUUUAUAUAUAUAUAUAUAUAUAUAUAUAUAUAUAUAUAUAUAUAUAUUGGGCCAAAACAGAGUAGGAUUUAACAGAUAAAUAACUUAGUAGUUCAGUAGUUUUGUUGCAAGUACAUAUUAUAACUUGGGUCUUGGGAGAUUCAUCAUGGGUAAUUUCAUAAAGGAAGAACAACUCAAAAUUAUGGAAUUGUAUUUUUAAAAAGCCAUUAUUUUGACACAAAGAGAAAACCGUCCUGUUUUGCUUCAACAAGGUAGGGGUACUGCCCAUACAGCCAGGGCCACAAUGAUUCUCCUGAGACAACUUUUCACAGUGUGGAUAAUUUCAAGAAAUUCCAAGAUUAAUUGUCUGCUCCAUUCACCCUACCUUUAAGCUCCCAAUUACUUUCUUGUGAGGAUAUCUGAAGGAGCGGGUGUACGUGAACACACUGUGUACACUUGAGAAGCUCAAGGAGAAUAGAAAUUCAAGCACUAGAGCGUCAAACAUUAACUAAUGUUAUGAACAAUGCAAUCGAAAGAGCUCAAUUUUGUGAGGCUGCAAAUGGAGCUAAUUUAAAACAUGUCAUCUUCUGUACCUAAUCAAACAAAUCUCAAUGUGUUAAGCAUUCAUUGUAUGUAAUAGCAUUGAAAUUGGUUCACUAAUAAAAAAAAAGUUAUUGACUCAUCAAAUCCUACUCUGAAUUUUGACUCCCACUGUAUAAAUAUAUAUAUGAGAGAGAAAGAGAGAGUAUGUGUGUGUGUGUCUACUAUAUCCUAGAAACUACUAUAUACAAUUUCCACAGUUUCAAUCAUAACAAAAAAUGAAUAAAACUACUCAAACAAACAAAUAGAAGCUGAAGGGUGGCUACGAAUAAUUAUUAUGAAUAGCUUUUUCCUUCCACCCCCCCACCCCCCCACCAGAAAUGAGGAUUUUACAAAUAUGACCGUAGCUGUACAGAUCUCUAAUAUAAACCUGUAUUUUACCUAUAAAACUAAAUCAUUUUCAAUCUAUUGUGAUAUCAUUUUAUUUUUUUAAUGGUGUACUAAACUUUAAUUGCUGUAGAUACAUUAAUUCUCUUUCCAAAAACAGCCAUGUCUUAUAUAAUGGGAUCACAUCACUGUCAAUUAGACAUAUGACAAAAGAAGUUUAAGCGAUUUGUCCAAUUAAAAUUCCUGGUAAUCAUUGAACGAAGUGAUUCUGAGAAUUUUUGCCUUAGUUUUAUCUGAGGACCAGAAGUGUAAAUAUUUGGUUCAUUCAUAAAUGAACUGAACAAUCCAAAUCAGAAUCCUUUUAAUACGCACCCGAAUCAUUAAACUAGAUUGUACAUGAACCAACUGUGUACACUUUCCAGAUGAACCAAUUCAUUUGGUCGACUAAAAGGAUUUUGAUUCGGACAAUAUGGUUUCUUUAUGAACAAAUUGCAUUUUUGCACAAGACUGAGGUUGAUUUGGAAUCUAUCAGGUCCACUAUAUGUUACCAGGAAUUUUAUUUGGAUAAAUCACUUCAAACAAAGUUUUGCAUUACUGCAUUACUUUUUUAAAUUAUUACAUUAUGUGGGGUUGAAUAGGAUUGAUUUUUAUUUUUUUUACCUGUCAUUCAUAACUGGGAUAUAGAAACUACAAAAUGUGAAAUGUUAUGCCACACAGCAUCUGCAUAAAACAGAAAAAAAGUAUGUAUUUAAUUGUUAUCUUUCUGCUUCCAAUAGCUCUGGCUGUAUAAUAGUUUUAAUAUGUUUAAUAUGAAUUCCUAUUAAACAUUCCUCUAUUAUUAUCUAUUCGAACACCAGUGAUAGCUGACAUAGCUCAGUUUGUACAUGAACAGAUUGUAGAACUUCCUUCUUUGGGAUGCAGGGUCAGACAUUUAUCAUUCCAAGGUCAACAAAACAAGUACUAUUAAGCUGGAUAACCAUAGCAUAUAUUAAUGAACUGCAGAUCUGGUUAAACCUGAGAGUAUGUUGAGUCAAAUUGAAAGGAAAGCACAAGUAAAGCUUAUAUUAUUGCACAAAACCUAUUACGAACCAAGCAAAAGCCCUUCUUGAAACUGAAUGACCAUCUAAGGACUCCAUUUUACAGACAAAUUUGAGAAUCUGACACGUCAUAUAUGAAUUAUUCCUAAAGCGUUCAAUGAAAAUAAGAUCUACUAGCUUCAGGAUGGACAAAUGUGCCCAGUCUGUUUUCUUUACUCUAAAAUAUUUCAUUUUCACAUAUGAUAUCUGAAUAACAAUUAUAUUUGGCUAUCAGAGGUUUUAACGAGAUACUUUAAGCACCAUAACUACUCCAUCAUAUUGUUGAUGUUAUGGUGUAAAGACAAUAUGGGAGAUGUUCCAUUUUUGCAUGGGUGUGAUAAAAAACAGGGCUCCCCUGGUAUCUAUUGCUCACCCAUCAAAAUUCAUAUCAUUAAAUAUAUCAAUUUCCUCAAGCCUGGGCACUGACUAUUGGAUGAGAGUGCAGCGGUCAAGUUACCCUCUUUGUACCACAACCACUAUGCUCAGAUGCAAUUAUCAUGUUGCUUAAAGUACAACAUUACCUAAGGGAACACACGGGGGGAUUUAUAAAAUGUCACGAGCAAAAAAGUAGGAAAUAAGUUGAAGUCACCAUGGAAACCAAUAGAAAGUCAUGCCGAUUGUCCCAUCUUUAGAAUUUGUUACAUAUUCCUUUAAGUAAUACUUAGAUUUGCCCCCAAUGUUCUGAAAUAGAUGAUACAAUUACAAGUAGUGGACGUUAAGUGACAUCGCAGGAAGAGUUAUCGCUAAACUGGAGAAUUUACAAGAAAAUAGAAAGUUUAAGGAAAAUAGAUGAUUAGGAAAAUUUCUAAUCUCAGGAAAUUUUUCACAAUCAGCUAUUUUUACCUAAAAUCUUAAAAUCAUUGUUAACCCUCAACAACUGCCAGUUUAUGGAAUAACCCUUAGAGUAAGAAUAUAUAAUGCCUUCUUUACUUUUAAAAAAUGGAUAACGAUAUCAAGUUUUUCUAACAGAAAACAAGAUUAAAAAAAAGUAAUGACUGAGAGGCACAUAUUUAGAAAAGUGUAGAAAUGAAACCAUACACGUUGGAUUUAAACCAUGCAUGUGGGUGGGUGCCCCAAUUCUGUUCUAACCAGAGGGGAGGCAUCCUAAUCAACCAAAAUCAUUUGUAAGGAAUUUCACAAGAAGGAGGCUCCAUGAAAAAAAAAAAUCUGCCGCUCACUCUUGUGCUGUGCAAUUUCUUUCCAGAGCAAAAGGCUGUAAAGAACUGGCUAAAAAGAGCAAAA